rnacentral:rRNA from 1 species
GGUUCAUUCAAAUUUCUGCCCUAUCGACUUUCGAUUGUAGAGUAGUGGUCUACAAUGGUUUCAACGGGUAACGGGGAAUUAGGGUUCUAUUCCGGAGAGGGAGCCUGAGAAACGGCUACCACAUCCAAGGAAGGCAGCAGGCGCGCAAAUUACCCAAUCCCGACCGGGGAGGUAGUGACAAUAAAUACUGAUACAGGGCUCUUUUGGGUCUUGUAAUUGGAAUGAGUACAAUUUAAAUCCCUUAACGAGGAACAAUUGGAGGGCAAGUCUGGUGCCAGCAGCCGCGGUAAUUCCAGCUCCAAUAGCGUAUAUUAAAGUUGUUGCAGUUAAAAAGCUCGUAGUUG